rnacentral:misc_RNA from 1 species
CCUAGAGUUGUAGGCUUUGCCUGCUAUCUCUACCCAAUGUCUUUUGAGUACCUUCGUUUCCUCGGCGGGUCCCGCCCGCCGAUUGGACAAUUUAAACCAUUUGCAGUUGCAAUCAGCGUCUGAAAAACUUAAUAGUUA